ACUCGACAUCGUGGUUGCGACUCGAAAUCUCAUUAUUUUAAGCUGUUUAAAUGUGAACUAAAGAAAAAAUUUUCCGGGGCCCCGCCCCGAACCCCGGGCGGGGGCACGCUGUCCCCCGCACCCCAGCGAACUCACCGCGGAGUUCGAUCCGCGCUAACGGGUGGUUUGCUAUUAAAUGAUUGGUUUUUGUAAUUAUUUAGUUAAUUAAUGAGGAUCAAAGAAUGAUUUACAAAACCAAAAUGGCUUAACUUGAAUGAGCUUUUGAUGUAUCACUUCUGGCCAAAGCUGAUUUGAUGCAUCUAUUUAUUGUUCAAGUAUUAUAAAAGCUAUGUUGACAUGCUUGACAAGUGCAUAA
rnacentral:lncRNA from 1 species